CUCUAUUAGUUUACUGUCCUUCCCUGUGGUCUACAUGGACCGCCAGCAAUGUUCCAGAGACUCAUGGAUAGUCCUGCAAGGAUGGGAGGAAUGGUCUGCGGCAUACCUGGAUAAGGUUGUUAUCCACAGUGACACCUAAGCAAGAGCACCUACAAACCUGAGAGAACCAAAAAACAAGAUGUGCUGCAGUCCAGUCCUGCAAAGGCCUGAUUUUACUCAGAGUUUCCUGGUCCAAGGGGUGGGUCUUGGGCAGCCCUAGAGCAGGGAGCCAAGGGAAGCAAGGAGCCAAUUGUCUACCUCAGCCGCAAGUUGUUGCCAAGUGAAGUUUGCUAUUCAGCAGUGGAGAAGCAAUGAAAUAGCAGGAGUGUGUGUUGAGUCUUUUUGGCCUGUCGGUGGCGAUCAGCUUCCACUCUGGGUCCUACAAUGCUGUAGUUAACAGUGUUAUAUAGGCUCAUGUAGGCAAUCCUAAUCAAGUCUUGAAUAGUGUAGUGGUUAACAUGCAAGCAUUGAAGGCUUUUUAACCUGAGUUUGAGUUUCUGUGGGAGCACUCAAUUUUAAUUACUGUAAAAACCUAGCCUAUUUAGUAUAUAGUAGUAUCCUAUUUAGUAUAGAAGUAUUUACAAGUUAUGGCAGUUUAAAACCAAAAUAAGUGUCAGGCUUUGGCGGAUGUAGGACAUGCCCAGUGCAGACACGAGGAUGAAUUAACAAGCAGUCUUAUUGUAUAAACGUAGUCAGGGCAAUCCAGGUCAUACACGAAAGUUUUCAGUCUACAGCACUACAGGAGUAGGCAUUAAUCAGGUCCAGAAACAGGCAAGGGUAUGGUGCACAGGUGAGCUCGGCAGAGGUACAGACAAGGAGGGGUACUGUCAGGUUUUUGUCUUGUUUCCUGUUUUUAUUGUGAAAGGUCUUAGUUUGUCAUUUGUGUUUUGGUUUUAUUUUGUAAGCACUUCCGUUUCUGGUUAUACCACAGCAGUUCCCGCUUUACUUCUGGUUUUCAGUUCACGCACCUGUGUCUCAUCUGUCAUUACUCACCAGGACAUUUAAACACCACCUGUUACCUUAGUUAUCCGCCAGAUCGUUGUACGUAUGUCGUCACUUUCCAGCAUUCCAUUGUCAGCUCACUUCGUGUUUGAUCCCGUUCCGUGUUACCGACUUCUGAUUCUGGCCUGAUCCUGACUUGGUAUGCUGCGGACUCUGUUACUCCGAACCGCGCCUGUCUUCUGGAAGUGAUUAAGCCUGCUCCUUCUGUGCCUCUAUAUUCAUGCUUGCAAGUGUAUGACCUGGACUGUCUGAGACUAUGAUUCCGUAUUAAAGCCCUUUUACUUACUCCAUCUGUCUGCUGCAUCCGCACUGAGCAUUUGGGUCCUCUCUCUGCCGUUCCGUGACACUUCCCACAUAUUUUAUUUUUUACAUAGGCUACUUUUGAUAUAUCCAUUUCUUAGAGUCUGGGUUGGGUUCUUUGUUGGUCUUAACAGAUUCCAAUGGUAAUAAGAGACUCUUGGAUCCUCCUGUCACAACAUAAGCCCAGGCUGUUGUAUGUAUACGACUAAAUAAAGCUUAAAUUAUGAUAAGUAGUAUUAUAAAG
rnacentral:lncRNA from 1 species